UACGAACGGUCCAAACGUUAUUCGGAAUUACUGGGCGUAAAGGGCUCGUAGGCGGCCAACUAAGUCAGACGUGAAAUCCCUCGGCUUAACCGGGGAACUGCGUCUGAUACUGGAUGGCUUGAGUUUGGGAGAGGGAUGCGGAAUUCCAGGUGUAGCGGUGAAAUGCGUAGAUAUCUGGAGGAACACCGGUGGCGAAGGCGGCAUCCUGGACCAACACUGACGCUGAGUGAGCGAAAGCCAGGGGAGCAAACGGG
rnacentral:rRNA from 1 species